rnacentral:rRNA from 1 species
CUGAACUCAGAUCACGUAAGAUUUUAAAAGUCGAACAGACUUUAAAUUUAAACGGCUGCACCUAAAAUUAUAUCUUAAUCCAACAUCGAGGUCGCAAUCUUUUUUAUCAAUAUGAACUCUCCAAAAAAAUUACGCUGUUAUCCCUAAAGUAACUUAAUUUUUUAAUCAUUAAAAAUGGAUCAAUUAUUCAUAUAUUAAUGAUAUAAAUUUUAAAAGUUUAUUAAAUUUUAAUAUCACCCCAAUAAAAUAUAUUUAUUUAUAAUAAUAAAAAAAAUCUAUAAAAUUAAUAUAAAAACAUAUAUAAAGAUUUAUAGGGUCUUCUCGUCUUUUAAAUAAAUUUUAGCUUUUUGACUAAAAAAUAAAAUUCUAUUAUAAUUUUAAAUGAAACAGUUAAUAUUUCGUCCAACCAUUCAUUCCAGCCUUCAAUUAAAAGACUAAUGAUUAUGCUACCUUUGCACAGUCAAAAUACUGCGG